UACGUAGGGUGCAAGCGUUGUCCGGAAUUAUUGGGCGUAAAGAGCUCGUAGGCGGUUUGUCGCGUCGGCUGUGAAAACUCGGGGCUCAACCCCGAGCCUGCAGUCGAUACGGGCAGACUAGAGUGCUGUGGGGGAGACUGGAAUUCCUGGUGUAGCGGUGAAAUGCGCAGAUAUCAGGAGGAACACCGGUGGCGAAGGCGGGUCUCUGGGCAGUAACUGACGCUGAGGAGCGAAAGCGUGGGGAGCGAACAGG
rnacentral:rRNA from 1 species